GAACUCGCUCGCCUCCCUGCGGCUAUUUAUAUCGGCCGACACGAGGCCCAGACCAUUCUGGAAAGUUCGCGCAUGUGCCCGGUUUUCGAGACUAUACUUCUACAAAGUUCCACAGUAGUUCCUCUAACGCCAUCUAGUAUUGAGUAGAGAUUUUAUGCGGUCUCUGUCUUUGCGUGGUUUCAAUGGUUGCCGCUAGAUGGCGCUAGUUUCUUUGUGUCUCCUUAACACUAG
rnacentral:misc_RNA from 1 species